GGGUAUGGGGUCAUUGUAGGGUCAUCGGGGCAUGGGUAUGGGGUCAUUGUAGGGUCAUCAUGGCAUGGCUAUGGGGUCAUCAUAGGGUCAUCGGGGCACGGAUAUGGGGUCAUCUUAGGGUCAUCGGGGCACGGAUAUGGGGUCACUGUAGGGUCAUCGGGGCACGGGUAUGGGGUCAUCGUAGGGUCAUCAUGGCACGGGUAUGGGGUCAUCAUAGGGUCAUCAGGGCACGGCUAUGGGGUCACUGUAGGGUCAUCGAGGCAUGGGUAUGGGGUCAUUGUAGGGUCAUCGGGGCAUGGGUAUGGGGUCACUGUAGGGUCAUCAGGGCACGGAUAUGGGGUCAUUGUAGGGUCAUCGGGGCACGGAUAUGGGGUCACUGUAGGGUCAUCGGGACACGGAUAUGGGGUCAUUGUAGGGUCAUCAUGGCACGGCUAUGGGGUCACUGUAGGGUCAUCGGGGCACGGAUAUGGGGUCAUCUUAGGGUCAUCGGGGCACGGAUAUGGGGUCACUGUAGGGUCAUCGGGGCAUGGAUAUGGGGCCAUCGUAGGGUCAUCAUGGCACGGAUAUGGGUCAUCAUAGGGUCAUCGGGGCACAGCUAUGGGGUCACUGUAGGGUCAUCGGGGCACGGGUAUGGGGGCACUGUAGGGUCAUCAUGGCACGGCUAUGGGGUCAUUGUAGGGUCAUCAUGGCACGGCUAUGGGGUCAUCGUAGGGUCAUCAUGGCACGGGUAUGGGGUCAUCAUAGGGUCAUCGGGGCACAGCUAUGGGGUCACUGUAGGGUCAUCGGGGCACGGCUAUGGGGUCACUGUAGGGUCAUCGGGGCACGGAUAUGGGGUCAUUGUAGGGUCAUCGGGGCAUGGAUAUGGGGCCAUCGUAGGGUCAUCAUGGCAUGGCUAUGGGGUCAUCAUAGGGUCAUCGGGGCACGGGUAUGGGGUCACUGUAGGGUCAUCGGGGCACAGGUAUGGGGUCAUUGUAGGGUCAUCUGGGCACGGGUAUGGGGUCACUGUAGGGUCAUCAUGGCAUGGCUAUAGGGUCAUUGUAGGGUCA
ensembl:lncRNA